UCACUUUCCAUCCAUUAGAUCCUCAUGCUGUCAAAAGCCUAAAACUCAUGUUUGAAGCACACAUAUAGUGGUAUACAAAUGUGCGGAGAUAAGGUAUUUUCCCAUUACUGCUACCACAAAAACCACACUACGCCAAAUGCCUUGCUACAUCAUCACCCAUAUGAUAAAGCAUCAGGAAAUUUAUCCCAGCCGAGGAGUAAUGCAGUUGGUUGCUGUAAUUCCAAUAUUACGGUUUUUCAUCGUGAACAUUUCAUUGUGCUUCUUACUUCUUAGAAACAGCCAUGCAAUAUCCCCAUGGACAUCCUUGAGCCAAUGCUGGAUUUGUCCAUGACAGAAGAGAGAUUCCCACAAACGUUCUGAACUCCAUCCUUAUCUUCAAGACUCAUCCAGCUUCACUACUUCAGUGCUUCUUAUGCUGCUAGUCCUGCUACACAACUUUUCUUGCUUCACUGGCGAGUUGGAUCACUUCAGUUACUGUCACACACCUGCAGUCACUCACCAUGUGAUUAUGGCCA